GAUGAACGCUGGCGGCGUGCCUAAUACAUGCAAGUCGAGCGAACAGAUAAGGAGCUUGCUCCUUUGACGUUAGCGGCGGACGGGUGAGUAACACGUGGGUAGCCUACCUAUAAGACUGGAAUAACUCCGGGAAACCGGUGCUAAUGCCGGAUAACAUUUAGAACCGCAUGGUUCUAAAGUGAAAGAUGGUUUUGCUAUCACUUAUAGAUGGACCCGCGCCGUAUUAGCUAGUUGGUAAGGUAACGGCUUACCAAGGCAACGAUACGUAGCCGACCUGAGAGGGUGAUCGGCCACACUGGAACUGAGACACGGUCCAGACUCCUACGGGAGGCAGCAGUAGGGAAUCUUCCGCAAUGGGCGAAAGCCUGACGGAGCAACGCCGCGUGAGUGAUGAAGGUCUUCGGAUCGUAAAACUCUGUUAUUAGGGAAGAACAAAUGUGUAAGUAACUGUGCACGUCUUGACGGUACCUAAUCAGAAAGCCACGGCUAACUACGUG
rnacentral:rRNA from 1 species